GUCUCAGGCCGUAUCAGCCUGAAGGCGCCCGAUCUCGGUCUGAUCUCGGAAGCUAAGCAGGGUCGGGCCUGGUUAGGAUCUUGGGAUGGGGAGACCACCUGGGGAAUCCCGGGGUGCUCGAGGGC
rnacentral:rRNA from 1 species